ACCCACAGUGUACGGAAUAAGUGUGGGGCAAGGUCCCGGAAGCACUGCUGUGUCCUGUAGAGCCUGGCUGAUGUCGGCAGGCUCUAUUUUUUAU
rnacentral:sRNA from 1 species